AUUUUGAGAUGAUGGUUUUCUGACUUAAAGGGAUGUUCAGUACCUUUUGAAAUCUAAAGUUGAACUACCCACAUUUUUAAAAUUUGUUUUUGAACUGUUAUGAAUAGCUGGUUCUUAAUAUGAAUGAAAGGACCAGCAUCUACUAAUGCGUAUUAAUUUAUUAGAUUCUCUCUCUCUUUUUUUCUUCUUAAUAUUAGGAUUUCCUCACAUGUUAGCUUUAGCUGCUUUUGAAAGUUAGUUGCAGAAACGGUUUCUACACCCUAACUGUAUGGGAUCGCUUGUUUCUGUGGAGAGAAAAUGACUCAUUUCUUUGCUAAAUGUAGGCCUGGGCCUCUCUCUUAAACACGUCUUGUCUAAGUGAGAGAAUGGCUUGAGCAAAGUGAGGCAGUGUUGUUGUUCUUGACCUAAAACAUAACUGGACUUUUAAGUGAAAAGCACUGUGUCUCUUCCACCAACCUUCUUUUGAUGUCCAAGACUGGUGCAAAGAAUUAAAUACAAAGGAAAAAGUUGGUCUUACUUUUAAAGUGACUGCUGUAGGUUUGAAGAAGUCUACUUGUACUGUCAAACUGUUCCUGCAAUAAUAUAGUAUAUUUCAAAGUAUUUUAUAGCUUUACUUUUGCCUUUUGUAAAAGCAGUCAAAAGCUAUUUUUAGCUUUUCUUUUGACCGUGAUAGAUCAGGAGUGGACUUUGGAAUCCCUGUAAACGGAUUGAAGUAAUUGUCCUGUUUUGUUUGAUAUUGUGCGCUUGUGUAAAGUUCUGAAAAGACAGCGGCUGGAUUAAUCCACUCCUGGAUUAAUUUUAUUCAUCAGGCUCCAGUGCCUACUGAGAGUGCUGUUGGCAGCACAAUACAAGCUGUAGAUUACCAUCCUGGAACUGAUGUUUAUGGCUCCAGAAGGCAGCUGCAUAUGGAGAAGAACCUGAGUUCAGCGGCUGAAGCAUGCUGUUGGCCACGCAAAAGGGAUGUAGAUUUGAAAGCAUAUCAGGAAGCUUUGAAUGACUGUUGUCCACGUCAAGGAAAUGAUCAGUUAGAAUUGCAAGAGGGGGAGGAAGAAGAGGGCAUAAAUCGAGUAAAUGAUGAAAAAAAUGGGAAAAGGGAAAACUCUGAAGAAGAAGUGAGGGUGAAUAUAGAGCCUAUUACUGAGUGAUGGAUGAGUGCAGCCUCAAAGAGGAAGAAGGCUCAGUUCUGCAUUUGUAGGGCAAAGAACAGUGCUACUGACACUGAGCUAUUCUGCUUCUUCUGACGACCUAACAUCUCCCAUCAGGAUGAAGACUAGACGGCAGGGUCUGCAGCAGUGCUUCCCAGAGCUGUGCGCUGCUUCUUCCCAGACUUUGACUUGUACCUCUAUUUGUGUAAAAUAACUGUGCUUUACAAAGUGUUUUUUUAACUCUGUCACAGAAAGAUUCCUUGUAGAUUCCCUUCUCUUUUCAGACGACUAUUUACAACUGCUGUCGUUGCAGACAGAAAACAUGCUAGAGGUAAACGUGAAAGCAUAUGUAUUGCCAAUAGACUGGAAUACAGUCAGUGGUUAUUGCAUAAUGACUUCCUCAGUUUCAUUUAAUUAAAAAACAAGGAAUGUAUCAGCAAAUCAGUGCAGUUAAACUUACCGCAAGAAUUUAAAGAAGCUAGUGUCCACCUUUUAUCAAAGUUGUCAUUGGCUGUAUUUGUAAAAUUUUCCUCAGUAACUUUCUUGGGAUUUGCAAACUACAGAGUCGAGUCUUUCCUGUGACCUAGCGUUGAAAGUUGGAGGGAGGUGCUGGGCAAGUCCAUUAAUUCAACUAAAAAUUUUCUGAAACCUAAUGCCAGCUGGUAUUUAUGCCACAGCUCUUAGUGUGUCUCUGUAGAGCAACACCAGUGUACUAAACACUAGCAGUUAUAAAGUAGUUGCAGCCAAAGAUUAGAGUUGUCAUAAAUAUUGAGUUAAGUGCUUAGAAGGUCACUUCCUUCCAGAAGCACAGACCCUUCUUGGUUGCAUAUCAGGUCAGUCAGCAUUAGCAGCUAAUCCAUUUUGAUUGCUUUGUUCAUCUUCUGGGCUUCUGAUAAUACUGUUUACUUUUUGGGUGCACAUCUUCACAAAAAAGUUAUCUUAAUUGGAGUCUCCCUCUUCUCUCACAGCUCAUAGCUGCAGUCAUUAAACCAUGAAGCUGCUGCCUACAUUCCUUUUUUGCAGUGCUCCACAGGCGUCUUACACAUGCUUCCCAUUGUAGGAGUGUUAUAACUUGCUUAUCUCUGGAACACCUGGUUUUGGGAAACCAGGUGGCGUAGUGCCUCCUAGCCCAUAAAUUAGCCUCCUCCCCUGUUCAGCUUUGGUAACACAUUCCACACUAAGUUCAUUGGGAUUUCAGUUUUCUCAAUUAUUUUCAUAAUUUCAAAGGAAUUUGGCUGUAGCUUUCAUGUAGGUAUGACAAUACAUGGUUGCAUAUUUUAUUUAAGACAAUCUAAGCACAUCUAUGUUGCUACCUUGCAACAAUUUAUCUGUUAAAAAUGGGAUGCUUGUUCUUUUCCAGCUAAGUAUCAAAUCUUUACAGUGGGGGGUUUUUUAAAACUAUUCACUGUUAAAAAUGUUUCUUCUCAAGGGCUUAAUUGACAAUACCGGCUCUAUCUCAUGGUCUACAGGUGCUCUAGCACACGGUAGCGCGCUAGGAGAAAUAUGGCAAGACUUCUUCUGUUACCUGAGCUCCCCAUAAGCAUAAUAGAGAACUUGAAACAUUCUCUUCUUCAUGGUACAUCAUUCCUUCCCUGUGGAAAGUGCUUUUUACGUUGCUUGUUCAAUGAAUUGCAGUCAGAAAAGCCCACUUCCAAAUCACAAUAGGUAUGCUUAGUUGUGGAGAAAUCCUAACAUACACUUCCUGUAUUUGAUGUAUUUACGUUCUUAAGUUCUCUACAUUAGUGUACUUCAUGACUACUCCACUGUCAGCAAGUGUCCCAAUGUAAUGUGUUGCACUGUCUUGGUACUUCUAAACCGAGGGGACCUUGAUUUUACUGCAGCACUUGCUGGAAUUCAGGCUGAGGGGUCAUACGGCAGCUUUGUUUUAUAAACAAAGCUGAAGAGUGAUUUAAACUUAAAAAAACAUUCCCAGAGGAUGUGAACAACACAGAUUUUUUUUGAAUCUUUUCUCCAAACUGAUAAGUAAAGGAGUCGAAUCGAAAGCUGAAGACAAGAGACCUCAGUUAAGCAGCUGAUCCUAACGUGGCAGCUAGCAGUCCUGAAUGGCUGCCUUUUAUAACCCGUGAAAAAGAAAGCAGUGAGGCUGCCUGAUUUGUGCCUCAAAUCCACAAAUGCAAGUUCCUCUCCUUCUGCUCACUUUUCCUACACCACUGGUCUCCCUGGUUAAGUCCUGUAGGUGAGCUGUUUUAUCUUCUUUACAGAGUUAAUUAUCUCACAGUUUAGCUCCUUGAACCAACUUGUGCUCAAUUCAGAUCAGCGUUAAUGCCACUACCAGAGAAAGGAAAGGAUCACCCCUAGAAGGAGCCUUUCUUAGACCAGAUUAGAUGCAACGCUUAGGCUGUAGUUUGAUAAACACUUAGCUACAGUCUACUUCUACCUCUCACCGCUCAUCAAUCACUCCCACCCACACCAUCCUUCCCAAAUCCUCUUCCUCCCAUCUCUUUAACCAGCUCUUUCUUCUGCAUCUUCCCCUCUUCCUCCCGCCAUAAGCUAACACAGGUUAUGCUCUGUACAAAUGGGAAAUAGUUCAGAGGGGUGGCGUUCAGGAUAGCUAGAAGAAGAAUUUAAACAUUUAAAAUUCUGAUAUUAGCGGAUUCAGGUAGUGGGGAAUUCUAAAAUAAACAAACUGAUUAUGACUGUGUAGGUGAAGGAUGUAGAGGCAUUAAUUAUAUAAGAGAGAGCCUUUUUCCCCCUGUCAUCUUUUAGAGGAGUUUACUGGAAGAUACACAAGUUGCUACUUCUAGCAGAGGCUGAAAUUCAUCGUCCUCACACUACAAUGUAAAUUUGCUCACGCUACAAUGUAAAUUUGACCCAGACAGGUAGCCACUGUUUUAGUCCUCAUGAUAGCAUGCUACAAAGAUUAGACUACCCCACUCAAUCAAAUACAGAAACAAGACAUUCACAAAGACAAGCGUCUUUUCUGCAGUGAAGCUCUAAUACAACAAAUCCGGAAUCACUACUUCAUGCGACAGAUUUGACAGGGCUGCUUUCAGCAGCUGUCAUUGGAAACCUAACACACCCCUAAUCUUCCAAACCUUGAGUAGAAUAUAUUUGAUGAAAUUAAUCUCAUGUCUUUGGUUUUGGAGGAAGGAUUCAGUCCUAUAGGAAUUCCCCAGCUCUUUGAGGAGCCUGACUCAGAUUCUGGACUGUCUUUAAAUUCAAGCCAUAGCACCACCUCUUCUGAUUUAUCGUCUUAUUCAGUCUGCAGUGAAGGUGCUGUUGCAUGCAGCAGCAAUGCUAAAUCCGUUUCCCUGCAUGGCGUAGGAAUUGAUGAUGGUCAUUGCCAAAAAUGUACUAAAUAUGGCCAUGAGGAAUAUCAAGGUGAUUCAGAGUGCUCUAGAGAAGCUGUAGUUCAGCAGUUGCUUCAUAACCUCCCUUACAGUCAGCUGCCAAGUCAAUCAGUGAGCCUCAUCAAGCAGAUGCAGAUGGAGAAAUCAAACAAAGGAAAGGAUAGGUGCCGUAAUUCUACUGACCAGAACCUUAGCCACGAUAAAUGCCAGGCAAAACCUCUGAGAAUUCAAUUUUCUGUCAAUGAAGUUGUGAGUAUGCCCGUCAACUCCUUCAACAGCAUGUUAGCAAAAAAACAUCUGAUAGACACCCAGGUAUCACUUAUAUGCAAUAUAAGACGAAGAGGAAAGAACAACGUUGCUGCCCCAAAUUGUUGCAAACAUAAAUGGGAUGUGAUUCUUGCAAGAUGUGUAACCUUCAAACACAAAAGGAGAGCCUUAAGAAGGAGCACUUUCAGUGUAGCAGAUCACUCUGCUUGAUGAAGCAAAAGUUAAAUGACUCGUAUCAUGACAUUGUUCAGUAUAUUAAGGGCUGACCAGGGCAGACCUGUUAACAUAAGCCAAUGUGCCGCUCAUUGCAGUAGCGAUGGCAGCAUUUUCCUAAUACCUCGACACCUGGUCAAAUCAGAACAUAAACAAGAUAAUCAGAAAGAACGGAAACAAAAAUAAGAUACAUUAAGGUAACUUUUAAGAUUUUAUUUUUCUGAAGGAGUGAUGAAUAUACUGGUGUGAAGACCUCUAGGUCAGUUCUUACAGCAGUGCAAACAGAAAAGACUUAUUAAAUUUGAAUGGGAAAACGACAAGUUUAAGGGCUCGGCAAAUACAGCAAACUGUCGUCAGAAAGAAACUCUAGCAGCUGAGACUUCCGAAUGAGGUGAUCUGUUUAGUUUUCAUGAGAAUUAAAGUUUCUUUAAGAACCCAGGCCAUCAGUUACAAAUACUGCAUUUAAAGGCCUACGAAGACAAAACGCACAAGGUCAUUUUAACGGAGACUAGGAACUUUCUGGGGAUGGGCAUGGGAGGGAGAACAUCGAGGUGGGGAGGGAAAGCAAGCUUUAUAUCAAAGCUACAGGUGGAAGGAAAGUGUUUUUAAAUCCUAAGUACCUGAUUCCUGACAUACAAAGUGACCUUAGAUUUCAUUAUUAUUAGGCAUUGGAAGAAACAUUGUAGCUUAAGUUCAUCUUUGGUUUAAAUUAACUGUGGAUUUAUGUAUUUCUAUAAAAGAUAUACUGUGUUUGUGGUACUCGUUCAGAACUGUUGUGCUUUUCCAGGUUUUCCCUGGGGGAGAGAGGCCCUGGAAGCUACUGCAUUUUCCUCACCUUUCACAGUCAUAGUUCCAAGCAAACCCAAUGUACCAGUUAAUGUUACAACUAGUGCGGUCACUCUCCAAAUAUAUUCUGAAAAAUUCGUAUCUAAUUCAGUAUUGUCUUACCAUGGUCCUCUGCAACCCUAUCAUUCUUAAGUUUCUUGCGUGAAAGCAUGCUGAAUGAGUUCCUAUUUUGUUUCGUAGUCCGUGACACAUUUACUUUUGUGACUUCCCUUUCUUCUCCUUCCCUUUUUCCUUUUCCAGUUGGACAGAUAACUAGGUAUUUCCCCAAAAGGAAAUACUUAGUCUUUUCCUUCUAGUUUUGUUUUUCAACUGGUGUUUUGUAAGCACCUUGAACUUUUGUGUGUAAAAAAUCUUUUCAGUAAAUGAAGUUGUACUAAAUUAUGUAUCAGUACUUGUGAGAUAAUCAGGUCCCACUCCUUCUGACAGUGGCUUUGAAUGAAGAGAUCUACUAGCCUUUGGUUUUGAUGUGAAUUUAUUUGUACUAUAAAAAAAGACACUUGACUUACA